rnacentral:rRNA from 1 species
UACGUAGGGGGCAAGCGUUGUCCGGAUUUAUUGGGCGUAAAGAGCGUGUAGGCGGCUUUACAGGUCCGUUGUGAAAACUCGAGGCUCAACCUCGAGACGCCGGUGGAAACCGUAAAGCUAGAGUCCGGAAGAGGAGAGUGGAAUUCCUGGUGUAGCGGUGAAAUGCGCAGAUAUCAGGAGGAACACCAAUGGCGAAGGCAGCUCGCUGGAACGGUACUGACGCUGAGGCGCGAAAGCGUGGGGAGCAAACGGG